rnacentral:tRNA from 1 species
GCUCCGAUGGUGGAAUGGUAGACACGAAGGACUUAAAAUCCUUUGGCUAUAAUGGCUGUGGGGGUUCAAGUCCCCCUCGGAGUA